CUGUUUUGUUCCUGCUUUGGAGAUAACAACAGGAGCAAACAGAGGUGAUCUUCGAUGAAGCUGAAGCAGCUGGCCGGCCCGAGCUGCCACAGCUGCAGUGAGCUCCUUUCCUGGCUGGAGGCUGCGCUGCCGGCCCCGCGGGAGCCUCCGCAUGGGCAGUGGGGAACAGAGCACGGCUCAGCCCCAUCGCCCCUCCUGCCCCUGUCCAAGCUGACUGAAAUGGAAACUGAAAGCAAUUGUGCUGCAUAAAUCAGAUGCUGGAAGUCCUUUGUAUGAUCUACACCCAGUGUCACCACCACAGCUCCUGGGCUCUCUGCUGAGGUGGCCAACAGGGUGUGAAGCUGCCCCAACCCACCACUUCAGAUCUUGAAGGAAAAAAUUGCAAACCAAGAAAUGGCCUGCAAACAUCCCGAGCCACCCAGUGCUCUUUUGUAGGUAUUUGUGGAGAAAGGCAUUUUGGAGGGAUGCAAUAUGAAUGGCUGCAGUGCCAUUGCCGACUGAAAGUCUGUGCAGUCAGUCCUGGUGGUGGCUACUGGAGCCUGCCUGCUCCCACACCCCAGUGGCAGCCAUUAUUCCCAGAAAAGCAGUGGCAACACAAGGGUAGAACAUGAGAGAGGCACAGCUCUGCACAGCCUUGGGUGCCCUGCACCAAGGAGCAUCCACACUCUGCCUCCAGCUUGGUGCAUGAAAACUUUCCCAUCUGAAUUAAAGUUGCUCUGUUUUCCUAGAUAAAGAGACUCCUGCCCACUGCCAAAAUUCCUGGUUUCUCCUCAUUGCUGGAG
rnacentral:lncRNA from 1 species